rnacentral:rRNA from 32 species
GGUGAACCUGCGGAGGGAUCAUU